GGCCCUUCGGGGUACUCGAGUGGCGAACGGGUGAGUAACACGUGGGUGAUCUGCCCUGCACUCUGGGAUAAGCCUGGGAAACUGGGUCUAAUACCGGAUAGGACCACACACUUCAUGGUGAGUGGUGCAAAGCUUUUGCGGUGUGGGAUGAGCCCGCGGCCUAUCAGCUUGUUGGUGGGGUAAUGGCCCACCAAGGCGACGACGGGUAGCCGGCCUGAGAGGGUGACCGGCCACACUGGGACUGAGAUACGGCCCAGACUCCUACGGGAGGCAGCAGUGGGGAAUAUUGCACAAUGGGCGCAAGCCUGAUGCAGCGACGCCGCGUGAGGGAUGACGGCCUUCGGGUUGUAAACCUCUUUCAGUAGGGACGAAGCGAAAGUGACGGUACCUACAGAAGAAGGACCGGCCAACUACGUGCCAGCA
rnacentral:rRNA from 1 species